GCCUGGCUGGCUCAGUCAGUGGAGUGUGUGACUCUUGAUCUUGGGGUUGUGAGUUCGAACCCCACGUUGGGUA
rnacentral:tRNA from 1 species